AGACUCGGCAAAUAGAAGAGUGACUCAGCGGCUGGAUCCGUCCCCGAACUCGCCGCCUCCACCCAGAAGCCUCGCAGGGGAAAUGUGGCAGCGCCCAGACCCAUCCACCCAGCCGAGGGGCUGCAGGGAAAGGGGCUGAAGCGCCUGUUGGGAGCACCCAUCGCCCACCACCGCCUACCCGGAGCAGCAAAGCUUCCCACCUCAUUAACUUCGUUACACGAUAGAGGCGUCUGGAUGGAAGGCAGCAGUGGUGCUGAGGCAGCCCGCUCUCACUCUUACUGGGACCCUGGAGCCGCAUGUGGGAGUGCCGCGGAGCAAACUUCAGCCAAACUGGCAGCUGCACUGAGGUCACUGCAAAGAGGAGACACAGCAACCUGGGCCAGCCGAGGAGAGGAGCCCAGCUCCCUUCUGCGCGAGCUGGAAGGGUGAUGACCAGCAUCGCUGGGCAAAACCCACUCGAACGCACAGCACACAAACGACACUGUUUGCUCUGCCUCUCUCGCAGUGAGAACACCACAAAGAUGGACCAAAACCUGACCUUUUCCUGAGCAUCCUCUUGCUGUGAUUCUUAAGCCCUGAGCCUGCUGCGCUCACCAUCCUCAGCUUCCCAGGCAGAGAGCUAACCAAACAGACGGUGCUUUGAGCCCUUGGCCAGACCAGCUGGAGAAGUCUUGCUUAAGACAGACGGCAUAUCCUUAAAAACACCUUAAAAACAAACCGAUUGCAGCUGAAGCCAAAGCAAACCUACCAGCCAGACCAAAACCAGGAGAGGCACCACCAGCCCAGCCCCAGCACGACCAGCCUAACACAAAAUAAACAUCUGGUCAAGAAGCAUCCGUGUGUGAAAAAGGCUGCAAAGUCACCGCUUUGGCGUCUCUAUCCAGGCUGCUCACAUUCCUACUGAUGCUAAAGGGAAGCAGACAGAUCUAGCUAGAGAACUAUAGUUCUCCUCUUUGAGGACUUUCUAAACAUCAAAUGAGGCCAAGCACUGAAUGAGUGCGUUGAAUCAGCACAAACCGUACUUCAUCCAAUAAACCACAAAAAUCCAGUGUUAUUCAGUGAGGUUCACAGGUCCUUCCAAAAGAAGCUGCAAUUGUUCCCAUCCCUCCACCCUACUCCUCAAAAUAUGAAAAAAUGGCAAAACACUCCCCUAUAAGCAGCAGGAAAUGGUUCAAAAUGGCAUCAUUCUUAUCCGUGAGCAUCUCCCGAAUGGUUUUCAGAAGACACAGUUCUACUCCUGCAUGGAUUAUAAGCUGGCUAAAAAUGUGUGUGACAUUUUAAUUAUCAAGUACAAAUGUUACUGCAAGCAAGCAAUGAAACAGAUGGUGUCCUGAAUUUUACAGUACAGCCACAUUUUCCGGCUCAAAUUUACAGUUCACCAAUCAGGGAGCUUCAAGUCCUGACUUCACUGCGUUUCCCCUCACCAUCUGAACCACUGCAGCCAAAGACGCUGGGAGUGCAGCUUUGGGAGCAGAACCACGAUACAAGUCAACUUGCUCCAAGUAAACACACAGUCUGUUUCCAGUGAGGAACCAAAACAGAGCACAAAUCUAUACACCUCAAAAACAUGGCACGCAUGAAGUGGGAGAGUACUGUUGCCUUGGAAAAAGAAUAAAAGAGAUGAAAGAACAAUUGCCCUGCUCAGGGGAGCAAAGAAGGAGAUCUCGCUACUUCCAUCUCAGUGAAGGACUUCCUGUGUUUAACUCCGUGCUUCCUUCAGUGCAUCCUGCCUGUAUCAGCUAUCGGCCCCCAGAUCUCCUCCUCUUCCCCUCCGGUGUGUUCUGCAGUCCUCUUGAAGGGGAAGGGACACAAGUGGAUGCGUGUCCCUUCAGGACCUGUCAAUGCAGAGUCCCGCAACACCACGGGGUCAGAGAGCAGCACGCAUUUCUGUCAUGCAUUUCUUUUCCUCCUUUGUUACCAAAACCUAUCUGUUUAUAUAAAUGGAGAAACAGGAGUCGCAGGAGAACAUAAGUACCAGUGUCACGCAACACGGAGAGGGGAAAGGAGGACUUGGGGUCCCCUUCAGCUGACCACAGCUCCCCGGGCAUGUUCAGCUGUGUCUGCACGUUAUCCGUGAUGGAUAGCCUAUAGAAGACCCUUGUCAGGCUGGAUCUGUCCUGUGGCUUUCACAGAUCUUCUGUAACCCCUUACCGAAAACAACGAAGAGCUCCUGGGCUUACAGCACCGUGGCAAACAGCAGGAGCUCAUAACCCAGCUCAAGCAAUGCAGGAGGAGACAGCAUGUGUCCAGUGACAGGGGGGACGGAGCUGCAGCAGCUUCCUCGGAGUUCCAGUAAGAAAUAGGACGAGUUUUCGGCUAUCACUGUCUUUGUAGCCAAGCUAUUUCCCCUGUCAGGCUGAGGAACAUGCACUGCCCUCGCCGAAGGGGCUCCUGAUUUAACAGGCUGUGGCAAAACUUCAUCUCUGAGAGCUUUCCUAACAGUCUGCUCCAUUCAUCUUCACUACUGCAAGCCUAAAACCCAAAGGGGAGCCACUGCCUGGGCUUACGGCAUCACUGCUGUAAUUACCACGAGGAAACAUUUUCUGGGAAGGUGUCCCAGAAUAUAAUAUGCUGAACACUUCCUCUCGCCACUCACAAUACUGAGUAAUAACCCCUUCUCCCAACAUCAGCGCUCGGCUGCCUUCCAGCCACCUCUGGGAGGACAGGCACGCUCUCCCCGCAGUGCCCAGUCUCCAGGGAUGGGCACGGGGCAAAGCUGUUCCCACUGGCUGCUCACAGAUGCGAAAGCACAGCCAUCCCUCACCUGACAGCUCACUUCUCAACAAGAGGGUGAACAAUCCUCUUUCUUUUCUCACGUUUCACCUUCUUGCAGACAUUCCCUGUGACGUGCAAGUACUUGUGCAAAGGCAAGUGGCAAGGUAAGAUACUGUACGGCCAAGGCACAGCCACUUCGGGACCCCAAGCUCUUCCAAUUUGGCUUAGAAAUGCAUCCAGGAACAGAGUUUUGGAGGCUCCACAGCCAGGCAGUGAUGCUUGGUUCACCCUGCUAGCUGGAAAAGCACUUCCUGUGAGGGCUUUGCCUUUUGCACGCAGACAUGCUUGCUGUCACUUAAUCCAACAACGUGCUGGCACCCAGAGCUGCAGAUGGCGAGGUCCGCGGUGCUCUUCCAAGCCCACCUUGGGGACUUCUUCCUUAGAGGGAGGCAAACAGGGAGGCUUGCAGAGCUGGAGGGAGCCAAGGGCAGAGUUUGCCUUGGAGCACAGGUGCUCUCACGAUUGCUUCUCCCCUGAGUAACAGGGAAGCCCACCCGGGUCUUUGUUACCAGGGAGAGAAGGCAAAGCACCGGCUGGCACCACCGACACCGGGGUGCAGCCUGGUUUGCAGCAGAUCGAUGCUGUCUUGUUUGAACUCAGCAGACGGGCGCUCCAGAGGAUGAAGAAGUGCAGCACAACAGUGCGGGUUCUGCUCAGUCACGCCGGCAGCUGGAUUGCUCAGAUAAAUAAACCU